UACGGGGGGGGCAAGCGUUGUUCGGAAUUACUGGGCGUAAAGGGCUUGUAGGUGGCCAACUAAGUCAGACGUGAAAUCCCUCAGCUUAACUGGGGAACUGCAUCCGAUACUGGAUGGCUUGAGUUUGGGAGAGGGAUGCGGAAUUCCAGGUGUAGCGGUGAAAUGCGUAGAUAUCUGGAGGAACACCGGUGGCGAAGGCGGCAUCCUGGACCAACACUGACACUGAGGAGCGAAAGCCAGGGGAGCAAACGGG
rnacentral:rRNA from 1 species